GCCUGUUUAUCAAAAACAUGGCUCCUUGUAAAAAAUAAAUGGGGAGUCUGACCUGCCCGGUGAUUAAAUUUUAACGGCCGCGGUACUUUGACCGUGCAAAGGUAGCAUAAUCAUUUGCCUUAUAAUUGAAGGCUAGUAUGAAUGGUUUGACGAAAAUAUAACUGUCUUUUUAUAAUUUUAUAAAAUUUUAUUUUUAGGUGAAGAAGCCUAAAUAUUAUUAAAAGACAAGAAGACCCUAUCGAGCUUUAGAAGAAUUAGUAGACUUCAAAAUUAAAAUAUUUGAUAAUAAACUAUUAAGAACUUUGGUUGGGGCGACUAAGGAACAAAUAAAGCUUCUUUAAUUUUUAAUAAAUGAAUACAUAUUGAUCCAGAAAAUCUGAUUAAUAAAAUUAGUUACCGUAGGGAUAACAGCAUUAUCUUUUUUAAGAGUUCUAAUCGAAAAAAAGGCUUGUGACCUCGAUGUUGGACCAGGAUAUCCUAAAGAUGCAGAAGUCUUUAAGGGUUGGUCUGUUCGACCAUUAAAAUCCUACGUGAUCUGAGUUCA
rnacentral:rRNA from 1 species